rnacentral:lncRNA from 1 species
CGUAGUGCAAAGAUGAACAGGUGUUUAGAUGAACAUGACCAACUGAUGAAUAUCCUUGGCCUGUAGUGCAAGGAUGAAUAUAUGAUUCAAGAGGUGCAUUGAUUGAUGUUACAGGGAUAAAAAUACUGUGAUGGACUGUUAAAUUCAUAGACAUUAGUAGAUUUCAUCCUCUACGUAACUCUUCUAUGAAUUAAUAUUUUCCGCUGCGAAUAUUGAUUUAAAACUUG